rnacentral:rRNA from 1 species
AAAUUGAAGAGUUUGAUCAUGGCUCAGAUUGAACGCUGGCGGCAGGCCUAACACAUGCAAGUCGAACGGUAACAGGAAACAGCUUGCUGUUUCGCUGACGAGUGGCGGACGGGUGAGUAAUGUCUGGGAAACUGCCCGAUGGAGGGGGAUAACUACUGGAAACGGUAGCUAAUACCGCAUAACGUCGCAAGACCAAAGAGGGGGACCUUCGGGCCUCUUGCUAUCGGAUGUGCCCAGAUGGGAUUAGCUAGUAGGUGGGGUAACGGCUCACCUAGGCGACGAUCCCUAGCUGGUCUGAGAGGAUGACCAGCCACACUGGAACUGAGACACGGUCCAGACUCCUACGGGAGGCAGCAGUGGGGAAUAUUGCACAAUGGGCGCAAGCCUGAUGCAGCCAUGCCGCGUGUAUGAAGAAGGCCUUCGGGUUGUAAAGUACUUUCAGCGGGGAGGAAGGGAGUAAAGUUAAUA